UUCCCCAUGGUGUAACGGCAGCACAACGGUCUUUGGAACCGUUAGCCUAGGUUCGAAUCCUGGUGGGGAAG
rnacentral:tRNA from 1 species